rnacentral:lncRNA from 1 species
CUAUGUCUUGAUCCUUUUCCUCAUCUCUUCUGCGCUGUUCAUCAUUUAUUCCAAUAGGAAUAGUUGGACUUGCUACCACAGAAUCACUGGUGUACCAAGACCUACUUAGUUUGGUCAUCCUAUUCAGCAUAUUAGCAGCAUCUUGAAAUGACAGAGCAAUAAAUGACCUACCAGUAGCAUUAUCUACCAUUAGUUUUGUCGCAGA